CUUGACCUUACUCACUCCCUUAGUCAUGGAGUCUCUACUUUUAGGUCUGCUGUGGUGGCGGGAUCCUGGGAGUGUCAGGUGCUCUCCCAGGACACGGCCCUCCUGCUGGGCCAGUGCUGCCCGUGCUCGGUGUGCAGAGUCAGACCCGGACGGCCUGCAGUGCUCAUGGCCACGGCUCUAGCAUGGAGCUCAUCUCCUGGCCACGGAGGAAGACGCAGGAAAAGGUUCCAAGUUUAGGCAUAAGUCUUUGAGCUGCCACUUCAAGGGCAGCUACUCCUGUGGGUCCAGGUUUAUUUUGCGGAGUUCUCUAAGGCCAGAAGUCAUCCAAGGCCAAACAAGAUGGCAUGUCAGCAUGGCAUCUGCGUAUCGUGGAGGGAAGAUGAGAAGUUCUGUUGAGUUCUGGAACCAGAGAAGCUUCUCUGCUCCAAGUCCCUGGUGUGCGCUCAGCACAUUUCUGGGCGUCCUGAAGAGCUGCAGGUGCAGAAAGUGCUUGGCAUCUCGUCCUGCUGCCCACCCUCUGUGGCCCCCACGGUGAGGCCCCAGCUGCAAUUAUAGGAAACCAUCGUCUGCAGGUGGAAAGAAGGUUGGUGAAGUUCACCUACUAAGCCGCCUGCUAUGAACAUUCUUGGCCACGUAAGGGACUCCACAAGGAAUUACCCGGUACCCCCUUCCCUGCAGCCGGCUCACUGGGCUCCUCCAAAGCAGGGAGCAUCUUCACAAUCUCGCCUCCACCUUCCUGGCCCUUGAGGAUUGUUCGACUGCUCAAAGAGGGCUUUCAAAAUAACCAGUCUUUUCCAUUAUUCUACUAGUCCUCUCCUCUGAGUGGUUUCUCGCUCUGCAUCCAGCAUACGUUUUUGGAAACACUGGGACAUUCACGGAAUCGUGGCAGUUAGAACUUGCAGUUAGAGGGGACCUGAUCAAACCUUCCAGCCUGGAUGGUGCUCAGGCAGAGGCGACUUUGCUUCCCUAGGGACAGGGACAGUGUUUGGAGACCUUUGGUCACUACUGGGCACAGGGGUGCAUCUGCAUCUCGUGGGUAGAAGUCGGGCUGUGGGGAAGCAUGCUACGGUGGGAAAGGAUGAGUGGUCGGAAACCCAGGUGGAGCGGCCAAAGGAACUAAGAGUCCAUUUCAACUGCAUCCCCACUGACAUGGACCCUGAGGUGACAGCUAUGUUAAUGAGCGUGACUUAAUGACUCCACACCUGGCAAGGCAGGGCUGUGCACCCGCAAAUGCAGCCAGUCCUGAUUCGUCAGUGACAAGUAAUACUCAUAAUCAGAGUAAAACAGAGUAAACCCACACAUCUCGUCAGUGAUUUUUGUCUGAUUACGUGUGGAAGUGAUAAUAUUUUGAACACACUGAACUCCAUACAGUAUAUGGUCAGAAUUCAAAGCGAAACCCUGAGGCUGCCUCUGUGCACUUGGUUUGCCUUGGUCCCCAGCCUCCUGCUCUUGGGGAGUUGAGUUUUUGGCCUCAGUGAAAUUCCUGCUGGGCUGGGGGGCUGGGGUGGAGGGGGAUGGACAG
rnacentral:lncRNA from 1 species